UCCGUGAGUUGGACGGCUGCGGGGGGAGAGAAAACCCUUCGAGGAAAGUCCGGACACCAGAGAGCGAGGACGGUGGGUAACACCCACCCGGGGAAACCCGCGGGACAGUGCCACAGAAAUACACAGCCGAUGGCGCAGCCACACGUGAGUUGCGUACAGGCAAUGGUGAAAAGGUGCGGUAAGAGCGCACCGGCGUCGUGGUGACACGGCGGCCAGGUAAACCCCGUCCGGUGCAAGACCAAACAGAAUCGUUGACCCUGCUCGGCGAGAUUCAGGUAGGUCGCAGGUGCCUUCGGGCCCCGCUGGCGUGAUCAGCCGGCGAGAUAGAUUGUCGUUCAAGACAGGAUCCGGCUUACAGACUCACUAAGCAA
rnacentral:RNase_P_RNA from 1 species